CCUACGGGAGGCAGCAGUGGGGAAUAUUGCGCAAUGGGCGAAAGCCUGACGCAGCGACGCCGCGUGAGGGAUGAAGGUCUUCGGAUCGUAAACCUCUGUCAGCAGGGAAGCACGGUCACUGUACUAAUCAGCAGUGAAUUGACGGUACCUGCAAAGGAAACACCGGCUAACUCCGGGCCAGCAGCCGCCGUAAUACGGAGGGUGCGAGCGUUAAUAGGAAUUAGUGGGCGUAAAGCGCUCGUAGGCGGGAUGGCAAGUCAAGGGUGAAAUCCCCGCGCUCAACGUGGGAACUGCCUUUGAGACUGGAAAACUUGAGGGUGUGAGAGGGUAGUGGAAUUGUAGGUGUAGGAGUGAAAUCCGGAGA
rnacentral:rRNA from 1 species